AGGAGGAGGAGGAGGAGGAGGAAGAGGCUGACUUUGAACCGUCCGGCGGUCACCUCCCCCACCAUCAUCAUCCUCACCAUCACCCACGGCAACGCCGCGAGGCUCCGACGCCGCACCAACAUCAGCACCACGGCUCCCCGCACAGGAUCCAGCUGCGGGGGCUGCCGCCGACGCCAGGGGCCGGCGGCGCGGGGCUGGCGCCAGGGGCCGGCGGCGCGGGGCCGGCGGGGGUCCACAGCUGGGGGUCGGCCUCCGAGGACAACCUGUCCUCCGCCCGCUGCAGCGUGGGCAGCACGUCGGAGGGGGCCCUGUUCACGGACCUGGAGCACCUCCACCCGUCGCUGGGGGCCCCCGAGGGCCCCGGGCCCGCCGGAGGUCUGCAGCGGGCCCCCGAGGAGACAGGCCGCCGGCCGGGCAGUCCGUUAUCUACCGACGGCAACGUGAGCGCCGCCGCGACCCACAGACGACCCCGCAAACACAAACCAGCCGCCGCCGGUCACCACGGUUACCCGCCGACUGCGGCCGCGUUCUACGACGACUCCUGCCUCGCGCCCCCAGACCCCCCGGGGCCCGCGGCCCUGGGCGGGGGCAGGGCCCGGGGGGCCACCCUGCCUCGGAUGGGCUCCGGGGAGCCCAGGGGCCGCAGGGGCAGCUCAGGGGCCCAAAGGACGCCGGCGUCAGGGGAGAGAGGAGGCGACAGGGGCCGACAGCAGCCAGGUUCCGCGGAGCCCCUCUCCCAGCUCUCCAACGGCCCGUCGCUCCCAUCCAUCCCGGCUCCUGGGAGCCCAGACGUCGUCCUCUGCGCCGGGGCGUCAAGGACGGCCGACGCAGAGGUUCCUGCGGAGCUGGAGGCCUUCCAGACCCCUCUUGAGGAAGAGGAGGAUGAGGAGGAGGAGCAGGAGGAGGAGGAGGAGGAGGAGGAGGAGGAGGAGGAGGCGAGGUGGUGCCGCGGCGGGGGGGGUUCACCAAGGUUGACCAGAGCCGGCCUGCAAUUGCACAACAGAUGGAGGAAUGUGUUCCUUACUAUAGGGGAGGAGGAGCGGAACAACACUGCACAUGACUUAUGAUUUCAAAGCAACGUGACAUCUCUUUUAAGGGGACCGGGAAGGGGGGGGGGGGGGGACUCAGCCAUCUUGUUCUGGAGUCGAUGGACUCCUGAAGUUGAGCACUAUUUAUUGUGGGGUUGUUGAUCGACGGAUCGGAUUCCACCCACUCGUACGGCGGUUCCCUCGAUGGUCACGAUGAAUGACGUGUAUAAUUAAUGGGUGUUG
ensembl:lncRNA